AUCAUUAUUAAUAUAUAUUUUAUUUUUAUUAUUUUUAAUUUAAUUUUUUAAAUUUUAAAAUUAUUAUUAUUAUAUUUUUAAGGAACCUGCUUCCAGCCCAGCUCUCCCCAGAGCAGCCCUGAGUUCUGUUUCCCUGCCCUGACCAUUCCCAUCCCUUACCCCGCCCGGGUCCCUGCUGUGCUCUCCCUCCUCACCCCCAAAAUUCCCCCCAGAGCCCCCUGGAGGCCCGGCUGAGCCGCAGCUCGGCAGACACGGGAGCAGAAGGAGGAGGAGGGAACAGAAGGCCCCGCGCCGAGCUCUGACAGCUCUGGCAAGCCUGAAGCUCACAUUUAGCAUCGAUUUGGGCUCCAGCACCAUUUGGGCUUUGGCAGAGCUGCCAUUCUCCUCCCCCACGUUUGGAGAGAGGAGGAAAAACCCCACAAGGCAUUUGGGGCACUCUUUCCUCAGCAGAUUCACUGCUGCAUUUUCUGGGAGAAAAUUCAUCUGUUCUGGUGUUAAAAGACAAGAAAAACAGCUUCUUCCUGAAAGAGCUGCCCCUCUCAGCUACGUUUGCUCCCAGUUUUUCUUCAGAAUCUCUCUGGAACCAAAACCAUGACCAUAAAGCUCCAGAAGAGCCCCAGGGAUUCCAUUAAUAUUCAACUUGCCAUUAAAAAAACCCAAUAAAUAAAUU